rnacentral:rRNA from 1 species
UCCGUAGGUGAACCUGCGGAGGGAUCAUUACACAACAAAAUAUGAAGGCCUGGCUUCGCGGCCGGCUGAAAUAUUUUUUUCACCCAUGUCUUUUGCGCACUUGUUGUUUCCUGGGCGGGUUCGCCCGCCACCAGGACCAAACCAUAAACCUUUUUUUUAUGCAGUUGCAAUCAGCGUCAGUAAAAACAAUGUAAUUAUUACAACUUUCAACAACGGAUCUCUUGGUUCUGGCAUCGAUGAAGAAAGCAGCGAAAUGCGAUACGUAGUGUGAAUUGCAGAAUUCAGUGAAUCAUCGAAUCUUUGAACGCACAUUGCGCCCCUUGGUAUUCCAAAGGGCAUGCCUGUUCGAGCGUCAUUUGUACCUUCAAGCUUUGCUUGGUGUUGGGCGUUUUUUGUCUCCCUCUUUCUGGGAGACUCGCCUUAAAACGAUUGGCAGCCGGCCUACUGGUUUCGGAGCGCAGCACAUAUUUUGCGCUUUGUAUCAGGAGAAAAGGACGGUAAUCCAUCAAGACUCUACAUUUUUAACUUUUGACCUCGGAUCAGGUAGGGAUACCCGCUGAACUUAAGCAUAUCAAUAAGCGGAGGA